UACGUAGGGUCCGAGCGUUGUCCGGAAUUAUUGGGCGUAAAGAGCUCGUAGGCGGUUUGUCGCGUCUGCUGUGAAAUCCCGAGGCUCAACCUCGGGCCUGCAGUGGGUACGGGCAGACUGGAGUGCGGUAGGGGAGACUGGAAUUCCUGGUGUAGCGGUGAAAUGCGCAGAUAUCAGGAGGAACACCGAUGGCGAAGGCAGGUCUCUGGGCCACUACUGACGCUGAGAAGCGAAAGCAUGGGGAGCGAACAGG
rnacentral:rRNA from 1 species